GAUGAACGCUAGCGACAGGCUUAACACAUGCAAGUCGAGGGGCAGCGGGGCUGAAAGCUUGCUUUCAGCUGCCGGCGACCGGCGCACGGGUGAGUAACACGUAUGCAACCUGGCCGUGACAGAUGAAUAACCGGGAGAAAUUCCGCCUAAUACAGCAUAACACCACUGGAUGACAUCCUCCGGUGGUCAAAGGAGGCGACUCCGGUCACGGAUGGGCAUGCGGCGCAUUAGGUAGUUGGUGAGGCAACGGCUCACCAAGCCGACGAUGCGUAGGGUUCUGAGAGGAAGGUCCCCCANAUUGGAACUGAGACACGGUCCAAACUCCUACGGGAGCAGCAGUGAGGAAUAUUGGUCAAUGGCCGAAGGCUGAACCAGCCAAGUCGCGUGAGGGAAUAAGGCCCUACGGGUCGU
rnacentral:rRNA from 1 species